GACGUAGGGGGCAAGCGUUGUCCGGAAUCAUUGGGCGUAAAGCGCUCGUAGGUGGAUCGGUAAGUCUGCAAAGAAAGACCCGGGCUCAACUCGGGGAACGGUGUGGAUACUACCGAUCUUGAGGCAAUCAGAGGAUGAUGGAAUUCCUGGUGUAGCGGUGAAAUGCGCAGAUAUCAGGAGGAACACCGGUGGCGAAGGCGGGUCUCUGGGCCGAUACUGACGCUGAGGAGCGAAAGCAUGGGGAGCGAACAGG
rnacentral:rRNA from 1 species